UACGAAGGGGGCUAGCGUUGCUCGGAAUCACUGGGCGUAAAGCGCACGUAGGCGGAUUGUUAAGUCAGGGGUGAAAUCCUGGAGCUCAACUCCAGAACUGCCUUUGAUACUGACGGUCUUGAGUUCGGGAGAGGUGAGUGGAACUGCGAGUGUAGAGGUGAAAUUCGUAGAUAUUCGCAAGAACACCAGUGGCGAAGGCGGCUCUCUAGUACGGUACUGACGCUGAGACGCGAAAGCGUGGGGAGCGAACAGG
rnacentral:rRNA from 1 species